GGAAGUAAACGUAACAAGGUUUCCGUAGGUGAACCUGCGGAAGGAUCAUUAUUGUAUAACCGAGGUGCGAGGGCUGUCGCUGACCCGAAAGGUCGUGCACGCCCGAGUGCCCUCACACACAUCCAUCUCACCCCUAUGUGCACCACCGCGUGGGUCCCCCUUUGGCUUGUUCGGAGGGGGGCUUACGUUUUCACACAAACUUUGUAUGCAGUGUAGAAUGUAUUUUUUGUUUUUGCGAUCACGCAAUCAAUACAACUUUCAACAACGGAUCUCUUGGCUCUC
rnacentral:misc_RNA from 1 species